UGAACAUGCUAAAAGUGGCGACACCAAGAACUGGAAGUUGGAAGAGAAGAGAGAGACCUCACCACUCACCAGUCACCACAUAAUUCAAUCAGUUGAAUCACCUGAGAAGUUUGUUCAACUCUCAUAUCUCAAAUCUCAAUGACAGCAACUGUCAUUCCCGCCAUUUUCUCUCUCCUCUCUUCUUCCUCCUACCGCCCAACUACUUCCACAUUCCAUAAAUACCCACUCAAUUUCCACCCUUCUCUCAAUUUCACUCCCAAACUAAACCCUAGGCUAAGAAUCUCUCACACAGCGAAGCAGUAUUACUGGGUACCUUCUUGCUGCGGUGGUAAUGCAGGACUUAACUCAGACAUAACUAAUGAUUCUUCUAAGGAACCAAACAUUAACACACAACUUCCUAGGAGAAGCUUGCUCGUACAAUUUACAUGCGAUGCUUGUGGUGAAAGAACAAAAAGGCUUAUAAAUAGAUUAGCCUAUGAACGAGGAACUGUAUUUGUCCAGUGCGCAGGGUGUCUCCAGCAUCACAAACUUGUUGACAACUUGGGGCUUGUGGUUGAAUAUGACUUCCGGAAUGAUGCUGACGAAGAUUAGGAUGAAUAUGAUGAGUAGCUAAGCCCCUAUUUGAUAACUUGGAUGUUUCUUUACUUCUCAAACUACUAUCAAUAGGCAGAUAAACUCUUUUGGAGGUGCAGGGGGGCUUGGCGGUAUCGGGGCUGGUGCUGGUGCAUGAUGGUGCCUCUUAUGCUUAUGUUUGUGCUUUCGCUUUCUUUUCCCCUCUGAGGGUGCUGGUGCUGGUGCUGUUGAGGGCCCAUUUACUGGUGCCAGGAUUGGCGAUACAGCCACUGGUGCUGGUGCAGGAGCCGGCUUUGCGGGUGCAGGUGCCUUUGUUGUUGGGGCUGGUGCAGGUGGCAAAGUUGCUGGGGCAGGUGAUACUGCUGGUGGAGGUGACGAAGGGGCAGGUGGCUGGGCUGGUGGUGGUGCCUGAACUGGAGGUGUGCUUACUGGUGCAGGUGGUAAUGCUGGUGUUUGCACAGGUGAACUAACGGGAGGAGCAGUGGGAGGUGGGGAGCUUGGUGGUGGGGAAGUAGUUGGGCUUGCGACUGGUGGAGUGGACGUAGGUGGUGGAGUGGAAGAGAGUGGUGGAGUUGCCAAAGUUGGUGGGUUUGAAGGAGGUAAUGGUGGUACUGGUGAUGCAUUAAUUGGUGACAUUGCUGGUGCUUGUGCCUUGGCUUGUACUACGACGAGGAACAGGCCAUAUAACAUGCAAACACACCUUAAGUUAGCCAUUUUUCUUCAGAUGAUAUGUCAAGAGAAUGAAGGUAGCUUUUUAAAUAGGGAAAGUAUGAACUUCUAAGAAAUGUAAAGGAAGUUGGUGAAGAAGGGGAGAGGUGAACUUCAAAUGGUUGUUACAUCUCAUCUGCUGAUUUUGGCAAGUGUGACUUUUAAGAUUUCAAGAACAAUAAACCUGUUUUCCAUUUUAAACUUGUUGUAAUUUAGGCUCAAGUUUUAACCAGCUGGCUGUAAAAAUCUGAGCAUCAUCCAUGGACUGUUUUUAACAUGGCUAGACUUCAAUAUGGUCCAAGUUGCUAUGUCUGUCUGUUGUUGCAAUGUUAAUGUACACUUUUCCAUCAAUUAUUAUAAACGUUGCUGUCA